rnacentral:rRNA from 1 species
GACAGAGGAUGCAAGCGUUAUCCGGAAUGCUUGGGCGUAAAGCGUCUGUAGGUGGCUUUUUCAGUUCGCCGUCAAAUCCCAGGGCUCAACCCUGGACAGGUGGUGGAAACUACCAAGCUAGAGUACGGUAGGGGCAGAGGGAAUUUCCGGUGGAGCGAUGAAAUGCGUAGAGAUCGGAAGGAACACCCAAGGCGAAAGCACUCUGCUGGGCCGACACUGACACUGAGAGACGAAAGCUAGGGGAGCAAAUGGG